AUCACUGGACUGCUUUAUUAGCU
rnacentral:piRNA from 1 species